rnacentral:rRNA from 1 species
UACGAGGGAUGCAAGCGUUAUCCGGAAUUAUUGGGCGUAAAGCGUUUGUAGGCGGGCGAGUGUGUUUAAUGUUAAAUCUUAAAGCUCAACUUUGAAAUUGCGUUAAAAACUGCUUGUCUUGAGUAUGGUAGGGGUAAAGGGAAUUCCCAGUGUAGCGGUGAAAUGCGUAGAUAUUGGGAAGAACACUAAACAGCGAAGGCACUUUACUAGGCUAAUACUGACGCUGAGAAACGAAAGGUAAGGUAGCGAAACGGAUUAGAUACCCGUGUAGUCUUACCCGUAAACUAUGGACACUAAACGGUAAACUUUUAAUUUACUGUUAAAGCUAACGCGUUAAGUGUCCCGCCUGGGGAGUAUGCUUGCAAAAGUGAAACUCAAAGGAAUUGACGGGGGCCCGCACAAGCGGUGGAGCAUGUGGUUUAAUUCGACGGUACACGAAGAACCUUACCAGGAUUUGACAUGCUAGAUAGUUGCUUGAAAGAGUAACGUGCCGUAAGGAAUCUAGACACAGGUGGUGCAUGGCUGUCGUCAGUUCGUGUUGUGAAAUGUUGGGUUAAGUCCCGCAACGAACGCAACCCUUGUCUUUAGUUAUUUUCUAAAGAGACUGCCUGUAAUAAACAGGAGGAAGGUAAGGAUGAGGUCAAGUCAUCAUGCCCCUUAUGUCCUGGGCUACACACGUGCUACAAUGGGAAAGACAAUGAGCUGCAAAUCUGUAAAUUUAAGCAAAUCUCUUAAACUUUCUCGUAGUUCGGAUUGUGGGCUGCAACUCGCCCACAUGAAGUUGGAAUCGCUAGUAAUCGCCAGUCAGCUAUAUGGCGGUGAAUCCGUUCCCGGGCCU